rnacentral:rRNA from 1 species
AUUGAACGCUGGCGGCAGGCCUAACACAUGCAAGUCGAACGAGUGGCGGACGGGUGAGUAAUGUCUGGGAAACUGCCCGAUAGAGGGGGAUAACUACUGGAAACGGUAGCUACUACCGCAUACUAUCGGAUGUACCCAGAUGGGAUUAGCUAGUAGGUGGGGUAAUGGCUCACCUAGGCGACGAUCCCUAGCUGGUCUGAGAGGAUGAACAGCCACACGGGGACUGGGACACGGUCCAGACUCCUACGGGAGGCAGCAGUGGGGAAUAUUGCACAAUGGGCGCAAGCCGGAUGCAGCCAUGCCGCGUGUAUGAAGAAGGCCUUAGGGUUGUAAAGUACUUUCAGCGGGGAGGCGUUACCCGCAGAAGAAGCACCGGCUAACUCCGUGCCAGCAGCCGCGGUAAUAC